GACGAACGCUGGCGGCGUGCUUAACACAUGCAAGUCGAACGGAAAGGCCCUGCUUUUGUGGGGUGCUCGAGUGGCGAACGGGUGAGUAACACGUGAGCAACCUGCCCUUGACUUUGGGAUAACUUCAGGAAACUGGGGCUAAUACCGGAUAGGAGCUCCUGCUGCAUGGUGGGGGUUGGAAAGUUUCGGCGGUUGGGGAUGGACUCGCGGCUUAUCAGCUUGUUGGUGGGGUAGUGGCUUGCCAAGGCUUUGACGGGUAGCCGGCCUGAGAGGGUGACCGGCCACAUUGGGACUGAGAUACGGCCCAGACUCCUACGGGAGGCAGCAGUGGGGAAUAUUGCACAAUGGGCGGAAGCCUGAUGCAGCAACGCCGCGUGCGGGAUGACGGCCUUCGGGUUGUAAACCGCUUUCGCCUGUGACGAAGCGUGAGUGACGGUAAUGGGUAAAGAAGCACCGGCUAACUACGUG
rnacentral:rRNA from 1 species